ensembl:lncRNA
CGUCACUACUUUUGCAGACCGAAAAACAAUCUCAUCCCUUCAGUGACUUCGUUAGAAACGUUUUCUUUCAAUCAUCUUUUAAAUCCACCAGUUUUAUCCAGUAGUUGACCAGUGAGAUCACUUGAGAAUUCAGGCUUAGAUCACUUCCUGGCACUGAGACUCAAGCACGUGCUUGUCAAGCUCAUCUUGAAGAGAUGACCUUGCCACAAGGCUAUAGAGCUUUGAAGUGACCUGGAGCACACUGCUCUGGUCUGGAUGCAAGUCGACUUUUCCAUUUUGCUAAGAACAUCUGCGUGGUGAUCCUCGCCACAAUGCCACCUGCAGCACUUCGGAUGCUGAGGUCAAGCCUGACACGAAGACACAGCUGUUUGGCCAGGAGAUGGUCCCAAGGCACUUGCAUCCCAUUCCUUCUAAGGAACCAGAAUGCACUACAUAUCUUUUUGGAUGAAGGACAAUAUUCCUGAGAAAUAUCCAAGGAUCACAGACCCUCUGCUGUUGUUACUCAGUUUAGACACUAUUUUAACUAGACAUUUUCUGAAGUGCUUUGAUGAAGUUCCUGACAAGCCUUUAGCAAAGAAAUCUAAUCUCAUGAAAUAUUUCCUCCUGACCAAAGCAUGGACUUUGUAUGGACUGGGGAGGACACUGGAACAUUUUUAAUGUAUCCUGAAAUUCUGGGUCUCUGGCAAGUCUCUGAAGCCAAGAAAUACCAUAAGAAUGUGCAGGGUAUUACCUGAAAGUGCUCCACCUCUGCUAUGUGAAGUCAUGGCACUGUAUGAGCAUUAGAAAGAGCUCUCCCUGACUGACUGGAAAAUCCAUAUUCCCCGUUAGUAUUUUAACCUCUCCCCAUAGACACAGGAAGAGAGGAUGUUAACCUAUUUAUAUGGGAAAUCAUUAGAAAGAGCACAAGAUUUAAAUUCACAUUCAUCAGUUUAUUGGGAUUUCUUGGUAUUAUUGUACUAGGUCCUUAAUUGUAUCUGUUUGCCUAUAACAAUUUUCAAGGGAAACAGCCCCAUUACUUGACACUUGAAGAAUUCCAUCAGGGAUACAUGGAUCAUUCUGUAUGGAAGUAAAACCAGAAAGUCAUGUACAAUAUUUUUGGCACCACUGCAUAAACUUAGAGGUUACUCAGGCCAUGCUCCGAGUCAAGGUACAAGACAGGGUAAGGACAGGACAGCUGAAGCAAAGAACCAAAUAGAGGGACAAAUCUAAACUGUCUGCAUACAAGAAUACCCCCAGCCACCUUGCCAAAAGGUUUUUCUGUAAGUAAAGUUGUCUUAGAAUGACUUGUGGGUUGAGGUCAUCACAUGUCACUGCUGACAUGGUUUCUGAAGGUCACCUUGGCAAACUCAAUUUGAUUUCUGUGGUUAAGCCUAAUGCUUUCUCUAGACUCAUUAUCAGAAAAUUUGGCAGUAUAUUGACAUUAUUAUGAACUGAAAUAGAUUUACAGUUAAAACUCAGCAUAGCAUUUCUCUCCAGUGUAAGACAGUUGGUAACAGGACUUAUCACAGAGUCAGAGGACAAACCUGACUUUGCAAGUGAGUCACCACAGACGUCAAACCUCCCGACAACAGCAAUUGAGUGAGAUGUCUACAGAGCUCCUAGAAGAAGCCCUCCAAGCUGGGCACUCUUCCCACUUUCAUAUUCUCAAUUGCCUAAUUCACUGAGAGGGGACAUCAAGGCCUGAAUGCUAUGUUACACUAAUUUUACAUACCAUAAUAUUUCUUCUUAAUUAAUCCAUGAGCAUUUGUGGAGAGGGCUGUAUCUAACUAGCAUAGAUCUUUCUAAAGCUAGAGAAUGCUUCACUAAUAUAUUUGGAUGAAGUUUUUGAUUUACAACCUUAAUUACAGAUGCCAGAAGUUCUACUUUUAAAGGACUUUUAUAUCAGAAAUUGCCAGCUGACUCUCAAGAAAUUCCUAGAAAUUCUGCUGGAGGUGGAAUAUGAUGGAGCUAAUCUAUUCUGAACACAGCUUGUUGAGUACACAAGUAAAACUGGCCAAGGUUUGCAGUAAGUCAGUCUGGGGAAGGAGGAUGUCUGGAUAAAAAAAAAAAACCUCCAAUUCUUUUUUCACGAGUAGUUGUGGUGGUUUUGUGUUUGCUUUCUUGGCAAAUGUGGAAUAAAUACUCGAGUUCUGAAGUAGAUUGUUAAGCCAUCUAUCAGGAUCUAUCCUUUUCCAGGAAAGGGGAGAGGAACAGAAAUUUGUCUCAUUUCUCAGUGAAUAUAUUGAAAAUUGAAAAAAUACAAGUCAUAUUACCUAUUUCUUGCCCAGAUUUUUGCAGACAUAAGUUAUGUAACUAGCCAAGACCACAGGACAAUCAUGAAACAAUGCAGGAUCUAUCUGUGUGGUAAAAUGAAAUGCAUGUUCAUUAGUUCCUAUUUACUGUGUAUGUGAGCAUUUACAUACUGCAGAAUCCCGAGUCCUUAAUAUUUCAUCAUCAUAUGAGACUGAGUAAUUUAUGAUCUUGACAUUAGACUGGGACAGUAAAAAGAACAGUUGAUUAAAAUAGCAGUCACAGUAGGAAUAUGGAGGCCAACAUAUCAUGCAGUAGGAAAGGCCACAAAAGUCAUUUUUUCAUGGCUGAGCAUUAAUGGUGAUUUAUUCAGAUCGAGGCCUGAUGAUUUCAAGAGUUAAAAAUCCAACCAAGUCAUCUAAAAAUGUCUCCGUGCAUUGUGAAAGAAACAGAACUGCCCACCUGGAUCCAGAUGAGAAGCUGCAAGAGUCUGAUGUACAGUGUCAUCACUUUCUGACCUUUCAGCUUCCUAUGUGCUACUUCUGGAUCCUCUAACAACACUCUGUCUUCGUUCACUUUCAGAACCAGCCCACUUUUCUUCCUUAUAAUUUGGAUUGUUGAAUCUCUCUAUAUUUAAGAAAAUAAAACUGAGGUUUGGAUCCAUUUGACCAUACUAACAGUGAAUUUUAUUCUGUUUCUGUGGACUGAAAAUCAAAGGUGAGGGAACAUUUAAGUCAUUUGCUCCAUCUCAGCCCAACCAUAAAAAUCUUCUCAUGUUGGUUAUGCCUAUGAAUGAAAUGCAUCAGAUGCUGAUGCUGCAGCCUUUGAGUUACUUUAGCAGAAGUUCACCAUUUGUAUGUGGUUUGAAUAGAUGGAAUCAUGGGAGCACCAGAAAGGGCAUCAAUGUUCAUCAGCCAUAGCAAAUCUGUAAUCAUGUUAACCAUGCAGGACACAGUCUGACUAGACACUGGUAACAGAAAAGUGGCAGAAAA